AAAUAAGUUGAGUUUGAUGAUGGCUCUGAGUGAACGCUGUCCAAAUGCUUGACACAUGCUAAUCGUACGACUUCGCUCAUAUUUGAAAAAUAUGAGCGAAGCAGUGGUGUACAGGUGAGUAUAAGAUAAUGUGACUGCCUUGGAGUAAGGAGAAAGAUCCCUUAUAAUAACAAAGGAACUAAGGUUUCGCUCUUAGAAGCAUGUAUCUCGUGUAGUUGUAGUAGUUAAAGUAGUGGUUUAACUAGCCUUUUACACGUAGUCGAAACUGAAAGGUUGAUCGAUCACAGUGGGACUGAAUAAAUCCCACGAUUAUUAUCACAGCAGUGAGGAAUAUUGGUCAAUAGCCUAACGGCUGAACCAGCAAUUUGGAAGAAUGUAUAGCAAUAGCUGAUUGCACCAACAAACAGUUGAUGCAAAAUUGAUUAUAUCAAAUAAAAUUCUAGGUAGAUUUUUGAUAAUGACAUUGCUUACCUAAGUCUUGACCAAAUUACGUGCCAGCAGUCGCGGUAAUACGUAAAAGACUAGCGUUAUUCAUCUUUAAUUGGUUUAAAGGGUACCUAGACAGCGAAUAAAGCCAUAGGAGGGACUAAUUCACUAGAGUUACUUAUGAGGGGGUAUUAAAGUACUGCAGGUGUAGAGAUGAAAUUUUGUUAUACCUCUUUUCGUAUGAGAAACUAUGGCACAGGUAUAGGUGAAAGCAUCCCCUUAUGUGAUAACUGACGUUGAGGGACGAAGGCUUUGUGUCGCGAACAGGAUUAGAUACCCCAAUAGUCAAAGCAGAAAAUGAUGAAUGUCAUAGAUUAGAUCUGCAAUUUAUUCUAUAAAUGAAAGUGUAAGCAUUCCACCUCAAGAGUAAUUUGGCAACAUUGGAACUGAAAUCAUUAGACCGUUUCUGAAACCAGUAGUGAAGUAUGUUGUUUAAUUUGAUGAUACACAAAAAACCUUACCACAAUUUGAAUAUUUAUAUUUAUCUUUUAUUGAUUUCUACUAACAUAUUUGUAGACAAUUAAAAUGAUGCUUAUGCCCCAUUUAUGUGACUAAGCAUCAAAAAAGAUAAUAUAUUUACAAGCGUUGCACGGCUGUCUUCAGUUAAUGUCGCGAGAUUUUGGUUAGUUCCAUUAAAUUAACGUAAACCCUUACUUUAUUUAUAUAUAAAGUAGUUCUCCGCUAUAUUGGAUAUGAUAACAGGGACUAAGACAAGUCAUCAUGGCCUGCCAAGCAAAUUAGGAAAUUGCUUAUGUGGGUGAAACUAUCAAACUCCGGGAACCUCCUAAAGCUUCUGAUACCAAGCAUUAUACGAAAGUGUAUUUGUGGAUGAAUUAAUUACUCAUGUAUGGUAAUAAGUCAGAAGAUGAUUGAAAAAGAAAUGGAAUAUCGCGGAUCUAAAUCAGGUUUUAUCUUAAAAUCUGUAAAAGAGCAACGAGUAGACGGUAGUUGACAGUUUUUUAACAAUAAAAAUUGUUUAAGGUGUACUCUAAUGGGUAUCGAAAGAUAUUAUCAAGUCAAAAACCUUUCUAAGCAAAUAAAUGCUUUAAGAACUUAUAAAAGCGCAACCCAUAUGCCAAAUAUUGUUAAAA
rnacentral:rRNA from 1 species